GGACAAACCUCUGGAGAGACUCUAGUGAGCGCCGAAGGAGCAAACAGGAAUAUAUGCACUUAUGAAUGUAUUUAAUAUGAUGCAUUCACCAUUCAGUAUACUGCAUAUGAACUGUGAAACUCUCAGGCAAAAGGACAGGGGAAUUUGA
rnacentral:ncRNA from 2 species